rnacentral:rRNA from 1 species
AGCGAACGCUGGCGGCAGGCUUAACACAUGCAAGUCGAGCGGGCAUCUUCGGAUGUCAGCGGCAGACGGGUGAGUAACACGUGGGAACGUACCCUUCGGUUCGGAACAACUCUGGGAAACUGGAGCUAAUACCGGAUACGCCCUUAUGGGGAAAGGUUUACUGCCGAAGGAUCGGCCCGCGUCUGAUUAGCUAGUUGGUGGGGUAACGGCCUACCAAGGCGACGAUCAGUAGCUGGUCUGAGAGGAUGAUCAGCCACACUGGGACUGAGACACGGCCCAGACUCCUACGGGAAGCAGCAGUGGGGAAUAUUGGACAAUGGGCGCAAGCCUGAUCCAGCCAUGCCGCGUGAGUGAUGAAGGCCUUAGGGUUGUAAAGCUCUUUUGCCCGGGACGAUAAUGACGGUACCGGAAGAAUAAGCCCCGGCUAACUUCGUG